rnacentral:rRNA from 1 species
CACGCCCUAAACGAUGUCAACUAGUUGUUGGGGAUUCAUUUCCUUAGUAACGUAGCUAACGCGUGAAGUUGACCGCCUGGGGAGUACGGUCGCAAGAUUAAAACUCAAAGGAAUUGACGGGGACCCGCACAAGCGGUGGAUGAUGUGGAUUAAUUCGAUGCAACGCGAAAAACCUUACCUACCCUUGACAUGCCACUAACGAAGCAGAGAUGCAUUAGGUGCUCGAAAGAGAAAGUGG